GGGGGCGUAGCUCAGCUUGGUUAGAGCACUUGACUGUCACUCAAGAGGCCGCGGGUUCGAGCCCCGUCGCUCCCG
rnacentral:tRNA from 2 species